AUUGAACGCUGGCGGCAUGCCUUACACAUGCAAGUCGAACGGUAACAGGCCUUCGGAUGCUGACGAGUGGCGAACGGGUGAGUAAUACAUCGGAACGUGCCCGAGAGUGGGGGAUAACGGGGCGAAAGCUUUGCUAAUACCGCAUACGAUCUCAGGAUGAAAGCAGGGGACCGCAAGGCCUUGCGCCCACGGAGCGGCCUAUGGCAGAUUAGGUAGUGGGUGGGAUAAAAGCUUACCAAGCCGACGAUCUGUAGCUGGUCUGAGAGGACGACCAGCCACACUGGGACUGAGACACGGCCCAGACUCCUACGGGAGGCAGCAGUGGGGAAUUUUGGACAAUGGGCGCAAGCCUGAUCCAGCCAUGCCGCGUGCAGGAUGAGGGCCUUCGGGUUGUAAACUGCUUUUGUACGGAACGAAAAGACUCCUUCUAAUAAAGGGGGUCCAUGACGGUACUGUAAGAAUAAGCACCGGCUAACUACGUGCCAGCAGCCGCAGUAAGAC
rnacentral:rRNA from 1 species